rnacentral:ncRNA from 1 species
GUAAACGCAGUGACGAAGGAAAGUAACCGUCCACAGACCGCCUCACAGAGAGGGCCCGGCCGCUGAAAAGGGCCCGGGGCGGGCGGGCGGCGAAGUUCCCUUCCGAGCGGCCCCGCUGAACGGCUUGACUCAAUAGGCGGGGACGGCAGGCCCCGUUACGGUUAAAAGAGUGUUUGCUCUAUUGGCAAAAAUCAGGGUGGUACCGCGGAAGCUGUUGACACGGCCUUCGUCCCUAUA